rnacentral:rRNA from 1 species
UACGGAGGGGACUAGCGUUGUUCGGAAUUACUGGGCGUAAAGCGCACGUAGGCGGAUUUGUAAGUCAGGGGUGAAAUCCCGAGGCUCAACCUCGGAACUGCCUUUGAUACUGCAAAUCUCGAGUCCGGAAGAGGUGAGUGGAAUUCCUAGUGUAGAGGUGAAAUUCGUAGAUAUUAGGAAGAACCCCAGUGGCGAAGGCGGCUCACUGGUCCGGUACUGACGCUGAGGUGCGAAAGCGUGGGGAGCAA